UCCCAGUUUACCUGGGCAGUCUCGUUAGAGUUCCCGACUUGACUCGCUGGCAACUAACGAUAAGGGUUGCGCUCGUUGCGGGACUUAACCCAACACCUCACGGCACGAGCUGACGACAGCCAUGCAGCACCUAUAUAGAUCCCCUUUCGGGCGAUACCCUUUCAGAUAUCUCAACCUACAUUUCGAGCCUGGGUAAGGUUCUUCGCGUUGCAUCGAAUUAAACCACAUGCUCCACUGCUUGUGCGGGCCCCCGUCAAUUCUUUUGAGUUUCACCCUUGCGAGCGUACUCCUCAGGCGGUACACUUAACGCGUUGGCUACGACACAGCAGGGGUUGAUUCCUACUACGUCUAGUGUACAUCGUUUACAGCGUGGACUAC
rnacentral:misc_RNA from 1 species